rnacentral:rRNA from 1 species
CCUACGGGUGGCAGCAGUGAGGAAUAUUGCUCAAUGGGCGCAAGCCUGAUCCAGCCAUGUAGCGUGAAGGAUGACUGCCCUACGGGUUGUAAACUUCUUUUAUGAAGGAGUAAAGUGUAGCAUGUAUGCCUUUUUGUAUUUACGUUAUGCAUAAGGAUCGGCUAACUCCGUGCCAGCAGCCGCGGUAAUACGGAGGAGGCGAGCGUUAUUCGGAUUGAUGGGGUUUAAAGGGAACGUAGGUGGGUUGUUAAGUCAGAUGUGAAAGCUUGGGGCUCAACCGGAGAAUUGCAAUUGAUACUGGCAGGCUUGAGUAUAGUAGAGGUGGGUAGAAUUCGUGGUGUAGCGGUGAAAUGCGUAGAUA